rnacentral:snoRNA from 1 species
UGCUACAAUGAUGACAUCUAUUUGCUACUUUUGACAAAAAGAAUGAUGACCAUUCCAAACCACCUUGAUUCCAAACUGAGGCA